GUUUGAUCAUGGCUCAGAUUGAACGCUGGCGGCAGGCCUAACACAUGCAAGUCGAGCGGAAACGAGAAUAGCUUGCUAUUCGGCGUCGAGCGGCGGACGGGUGAGUAAUGCCUGGGAAAUUGCCCUGAUGUGGGGGAUAACCAUUGGAAACGAUGGCUAAUACCGCAUAAUAGCUUCGGCUUAAAGAGGGGGACCUUCGGGCCUCUCGCUUCAGGAUAUGCCCAGGUGGGAUUAGCUAGUUGGUGAGGUAAAGGCUCACCAAGGCGACGAUCCCUAGCUGGUCUGAGAGGAUGAUCAGCCACACUGGAACUGAGACACGGUCCAGACUCCUACGGGAGGCAGCAGUGGGGAAUAUUGCACAAUGGGCGCAAGCCUGAUGCAGCCAUGCCGCGUGUAUGAAGAAGGCCUUCGGGUUGUAAAGUACUUUCAGCGGUGAGGAAGGGUGUGUAGUUAAUAGCUGCAUACUUUGACGUUAGCUGCAGAAGAAGCACCAGCUAACUCCGUGCCAGCAGCCGCGGUAAUACGGAGGGUGCGAGCGUUAAUCGGAAUUACUGGGUGUAAAGCGCAUGCAGGUGGUUUGUUAAGUCAGAUGUGAAAGCCCGGGGCUCAACCUCGGAACCGCAUUUGAAACUGGCAGGCUAGAGUACUGUAGAGGGGGGUAGAAUUUCA
rnacentral:rRNA from 1 species